AUUAUUUUUGUUGUUUCUCUAUACUACUAGCCACCUAGCAAUUGUAUUUAGUUGGCUUUAGCUAGCCAAGAUAUGUUCCCAGUCUCCUAACCAUAUAAAGCUACCAAGAAGCCAUUUCAGGCUAUCAAUCAAGACAGACAAGCAAGCUACUCUUAGCUGGCAUUCCUGUUGGCAAGUUGGGAGACUUUAGAAAAGCAACAUUCAACAUUCUCCAACUUCAGGCCAGGGUCCUAAGCCCCCUAUGGACCACCCCCCAGCCAUCCUUACAUACUUUGUGCCCCUCAGAUUUUGAGGGUGCAUGAAGCCCCUGUUGGGGAUGAUUGCACAGAGGGACAUUGGAGGAAAGCACACCAAUAUGGACUAUCCAAGGACUAUCACAAGUCGGAUUUGUAACCCCAAAAUGUACAGGCCUGUUUGCCAGCAUGUCUCAUAAGAUAUGAAAAGCCUCUCACGUGCAAGAAAGAGAGAGAAUGGUACUUUUCCUGUCCUGUGGCCUUCCCAUUUCCAACUUUUUUAUAUAUUGUUAUUCACAAAUGGAGACAAUUACAAGCAGAUAUUCAGCUAUAUCAGUGCAGUAAGCAUAUACACGAUUUUGUUGUUAUGUAAUAUUAUGUUUAUAACUAAAAUAAUUAUAUUGCUCAGGUGACAUACCCUACAUCUGCAGGUGCAUAGCCUGGAAAUUACGGAAAAUAAUGAAUUCCUCAAUUUGAUUAUAGACUGUGGUAUGCAGCCAAACAUGUAAACGACAAUUGCUUGUUGUGAGUUUAAUCCCUCAAUUAAAUGACGAAAAUACUACGUGCUUCUACUGCCUACUACUUACUGUACGUUAAAUAUUUUGUAGCGUACUUACGAUUCAUUGAAGGUACUCGAUGUCGCAGUUCGUAAAAUUACUGAUGUGAUAAAUACAAGGCAAAGGAAGUUGAGAGCCAUGGCCAUAACCGUGGUACACAUCCUCCGCACUUCGAAAUGCUCCCUUCCCUCGUCCAGAUGGUCAGGAAAGUUGCACAAACGGUGCUGUUUAUACCCAAAUGCACCCUCUUGUGUCACCCCCUUCCAAAUUGUUUGGCACACCGCAGCCACCUCCCGUUUCCUCCCAAUUCCGAAGAAGUUCUCAAACAGUCACAGCCCCGCGAGAAAUGGGAUGGUCAGAAUGACACAAAAUUCGGGCGUAGGAACUCUUUCCCCCUCGAACAUCCAUCGACGUAAAGAAAGUUUCAAGUUGGAUAUUCGACCGAUAUUCGCGCUUUCAAACCACUUGAGGCACAGACUCCAAAUAAGUGGCAUGAUGUUGGAAAAAUUGCGCACAACAUUAUUUUCCCGAUUUGGACAUUCAUUCGCAUUCCAAAGCUAAUAAACAUGUGGAAAUGUGAGCAACAUUUGGUAUUCCUAGUCGAAUUAGUUAGGGAGCGUAAACAAAGUACAAACUUUUUUUACUUUCGAAUUUCAAUAGCUCCUUGGUCAUGUGACCUACUUGACUCAAACAAGUUUCAGAAUGUCCACUGACUACCCUUCUAUAUUGCACACCCUUUGGUUUGUUCAUUUUCAUCUCACACGUUUUAACAUGAAUUGUUCAAACUUUCACAUUUCAAUAGCUCCUUGGUCAUGUGACCUACGGACUACAAACAAGGUUCAGAAUGUCCACUCCAAGACAAUGAGGCUGCAGGCCAGGUCACAGCUCUGUGGCGAAGAAACAAUUGCGAGGUAGUGGUUGCUGAUGUGAGGUCUACAGACAAAAACUCCUCUUUCCUUCUCCAUCAUUCAGAGUUUAAAACUCUGCAGCCCCACAAAUGGCUUGUGGAUGAGACAAUCGAAUGGUACUUUCAAGCAACCACAAAAAGCUGUGGUUACGGGACAAAGAUUUACACCCUAAAUCAUUACUCAGCCCAAGUCAUUCUAAAUGGAGAAAGAAGUUCAGUGCGCAAGCGAAGUCUGCCCAAGGUGAACUUCGGUAACUACAAUGCUGUCAUGAGUUUCUUGAAUGUGAACCAGAACCACUGGAAGUUCAUUUAUCUGCAUGAACCAUCAGGCCAAGUGUUUUUGGUUGACCCUGCUGGACAGAAAGAGAAGGAGGAAUCGGAACACGCUGCAUUCAAAUUCAGGUCUUAGUUAUUCCAUUGUACUGGAUCUAAUACAUUUUAGCAUUUUACAUACAGUUGAA